UACGGGGGGAGCAAGCGUUGUUCGGAUUUACUGGGCGUAAAGGGCGCGUAGGCGGCCACCGCAAGUCGACUGUGAAAUCUCUGGGCUUAACCCAGAAAGGUCAGCCGAUACUGCGGGGCUAGAGUGCAGAAGGGGCAACUGGAAUUCUCGGUGUAGCGGUGAAAUGCGUAGAUAUCGAGAGGAACACCUGCGGCGAAGGCGGGUUGCUGGGCUGACACUGACGCUGAUGAGCGAAAGCCAGGGGAGCAAACGGG
rnacentral:rRNA from 1 species